CUUAUUUUAAUGGUAAGCUUGUUCAAAUAGAAUAGGGAAAUUGUAAACUAUUAACAGUUAAGAGUACUUUCAUUAGCAGGGAGGAAGAUGAUGAGUCUCAGGAUAUUAUACUAUACUGUGACAUGGUGACUGAUGAGUUACAACAAUCAUGAAAAUCUCGGGAUGGUUUCUGACAGUAGUUUCAGUGCCUCUUCACACACCGACACAGAGGUUAAUUACUGAACAAUAUAUCAGAAAUAUUAAGUUACAACAACCGAGUCCCGUAUCAGUUCUUGACUCUUAGUUUUACAAAGACGACUCGUCGUGUUCACCAUCUCCAAUAAUGAAAAGAUGCAUUGAAUAUAAAGUGAGAGCCCUUGUUUCAGUUGUUCACAUGUAAACUUGAGUUCGACGUUGACGAAAUCAUUCUCAUGGGUAACACUCCUGUCAAUGGCCUCCUGCAGCAUUGGGAAGAUUAUACGAUGCGGAAG